UUGAAAAUGAUGUUAAACUGUCACUGAUAGUUGGACUUAAUCUAUUUUGGAGAGAGUCGUAAACUUUUCCUAGGAUGUUCGCAUUUGCGAGGCAUUUGUCUGAUUCGCUU
rfam:Drosophila melanogaster chromosome 2R.